UCAUCAUCAUCGUCAUUGCGACGACCAUAGCUAGGCUUCCUGUAACUCCCCUCUUCCUGUUCCUCAGACCUUCCAUAGCUAGGCUUCCUGUAACUCCCUUCCUCCUGAUCCUCAGAUCUUCCAUAGCUAGGCUUAAUGUAACUCUCCACCUGUUCCUCAGACCCUCCAUAACUUGGUUUCCUGUAACUACCUUCCUCCUGAUCCUCAGAUCUCCCAUAGCUAGGCUUCCUGUAACCUUCCUCUUGAUCCUCAGAUCUCCCAUAGCUAGGCUUCCUGUAACCUUCCUCUUGUUCCUCAGAUCUUCCAUAGCUAGGCUUCCUGUAGCCUUCCUCUUGAUCCUCAGAUCUUCCAUAGCUAGGCUUCCUGUAACUUCCUUCUUCCUGAUCCUCAGAUCUUCCAUAGCUAGGUUUCUUGUAACCUUCCUCUUGUUCCUCAGACCUUCCAUAGCUAGGCUUCCUGUAACCUUCUUCUUGUUCCUCAGACCUACCAUAGCUAGGCUUACGCUCAUACUCAGACUCUGAUCUGCCACCAUAUCCAGAUCCAAGACCCGAUUCAGGUCUCCUCCCAUACUCAACCUCAGUUCUUCCACCACCAGAUCCAUACUCCGAUUGAUUCUCCGUUCUACCACCAUAACUCUGCUCAGGUCUCCGACCAUACUCCGUCUCAGUUUCACCACCAUAUCCAGAUUCAGGCCUCCUACCAUACUCACUCUCCGUCUGACCACCAUAACCAGAUCCAGAUCCAUAACCAGGAUUCGGCCUCUCACCUUGAACAUGACCGCCACCAC
rnacentral:lncRNA from 1 species